UGGCCACAACAACCCCAUGCAUUGCUGAAGGCUUGGGGAAGAGUGGUUGGAAGGCUGUGCAGCGGCAAAGGACCUCGGGGUGUUAGCUGGCAGCCAACUGGACAUGAGCCAGCAGUGUGCCCACGUGGCCAAGAAGGCCAGCAGCAACUCAGCUUGCGUUAGAGAUAGCGCAGACAGCAGGAGCAGGAGGUGAUCGUCUCUCUGUACUGGCACACCUCAAGUCAGGCAGCGCCUCGAGUGCUGUGUUCAGCAUUGGACCCCUCAUUAUAAGAAGACAUUGAGGUCCUGAGCAGGGAAGGGCAAUGGAGCUGUGAGGGAUCUGGAGCACAAGUGUGAUGGGAAUGGCUGAGGGAGCCGGGAUGGUUCAGUGUGGAGAAGAGGCUCAGGGAGACCUCAGUGCUGUUUACAACUGAGAGGAGACUGUGCUUGGUGGGGGUCGGCGUCUGCUCCCAGUCCAGUUCCAGCUAUCAGCUUCUGGAAAUCAGACGGACUGAGGACUGAAAAAAUGGAUUUGGGUCCGGACCUGAAUUCCUUCAUCAGAGAUCCAGUCUGCAAUGUUCAGAGAUUAUUCCUGAAAUCAAGAUCAGUGCUGCAAAGUAGAGCUGAGCUCACCACCAAUCUUCCUUUCCCAAGUCUGUGUUUGGUAAUACAGUUUGAUCCAAAUCUCUGGAUUUUCAUAUUGUGGGCAGAGACUGUAGUUUAAACUGUCCUGUACCAGAUUUUAUUUCUCUCCCUGAACAAAUUGAAAAGGUUUCCUUCAGAGCCAAAAUGACAUAAAAUAAAAUACAGCAGUUAAAAAUAAAACUCUGAAUCUCACCAAUAACAGAGCCCAGCAAGUAUUUCCAUCUAAUAGUAAUGCAUUACAUACGGACUCUGGGCAGUACUCUCCCUUUGAAGAUCAUGGGAAUUUUGCCAUUUAUUUCUGCAUAAAAAAUAAAACGCUGAAUGCUCA